rnacentral:rRNA from 1 species
CUGAACGCCUCUAAGUCAGAAUCCGUGCUAGAAACGAUGAUGUUGGUGUCGCACAUUAGACUUGUGUUUAAAUAGAGCUUUGCUCGUGAACCAAAUAUGGUGGGCUGGGUUGUCUUUGCGGAAACGCUUGGGCGACUUGUCUACGAAUUGUAAUCGUAAUAUGGGCGGCGGUGAAUCCUUUGCAGACGACUUGAAUGGGAACGGGGUACUGUAAGUGGUAGAGUAGCCUUGUUGCUACGAUCCACUGAGGUUAAGCCCUUGUUCUAAAGAUUUGUUC